rnacentral:rRNA from 1 species
GACGAACGCUGGCGGCGUGCUUAACACAUGCAAGUCGAACGGUGAAGCGCCUUCCUUUUUGGUGGGUGUGGAUGAGUGGCGAACGGGUGAGUAACACGUGAGUAACCUGCCCCCUUCUUCUGGAUAACCGCAUGAAAGUGUGGCUAAUACGGGAUAUUCUGGGUCUGUCGCAUGAUGGGUCUGGGAAAGAUAUUGUUUCGGUGGGGGAUGGGCUCGCGGCCUAUCAGCUUGUUGGUGGGGUGAUGGCCUACCAAGGCGGUGACGGGUAGCCGGCCUGAGAGGGUGGACGGUCACAAUGGGACUGAGACACGGCCCAGACUCCUACGGGAGGCAGCAGUGGGGAAUAUUGCACAAUGGGCGCAAGCCUGAUGCAGCGACGCCGCGUGAGGGAUGGAGGCCUUCGGGUUGUGAACCUCUUUCGCCAGUGAAGCAGGCCUGCCUCGUUUGUGGGUGGGUUGACGGUAGCUGGAGAAGAAGCGCCGGCUAACUACGUG